rfam:Fervidicoccus fontis Kam940, complete genome.
GCGGGGGUGCCCGAGCAUGGCCAAAGGGGUCGGAUUCAGACUCCGAUGGAGAAGUCCUGCGUGGGUUCAAAUCCCACCCCCCGCA